CUUCUUCCGUCAUAGUCCGAGUAACUCAAACUCGAAACACCAUAUAAAUAAAACACCAUUCUUGGAAGAUGAGAUCUCGCAUCAUGCCAUGAGCCUCACCAUGAUGCCUAAUAUCCUUGCACACUCAGCGUCGUAUAUGCAGGCUAAGAAAAGGGAAAAGCACUCACGAUUCAAGCUUUUGGCCAUGGAGACCAUAUCUCAGCUCGUUGUUACAUGUCAUGAAUGGCCUGCUGAGAACUCAAGGAUGGCC
rnacentral:lncRNA from 1 species